UACGUAGGGUGCAAGCGUUAAUCGGAAUUACUGGGCGUAAAGCGUGCGCAGGCGGUUUCUUAAGUCAGAUGUGAAAGCCCCGGGCUUAACCUGGGAACUGCGUUUGAAACUGGGAGACUUGAGUGUGGCAGAGGGGGGUGGAAUUCCACGUGUAGCAGUGAAAUGCGUAGAUAUGUGGAGGAACACCGAUGGCGAAGGCAGCCCCCUGGGUUAACACUAACGCUCAUGCACGAAAGCGUGGGGAGCAAACAGG
rnacentral:rRNA from 1 species